CAAACACAUCCAUUUUCUCCAUCCUCUUUCUUACUGUGAGAAAAUUUAGAGAGAGAGAAGUGUAUUUUGAGCUGAAAAUUGCUAAUGGCAGUUGGUAACUGAACGUUUUUAUACAGGGAAAUGUCUGGUAGACGAUCGAGUUAUACUUUGUUGAAUCAAAUUCCUAAUGAUAAUUUUUUCCAGCCGCCGGCGCCGAAGUUCUCUGCCGGAGCUGGUGUAGUGCCGUACGGUGAGUCUAGUUCUGCUGAGAAGAACAGAGGUAAAGUAUUUGAUUUGGACUUGAUGGAUCAACGCAUGAUGCAAUCACAUAACCGGGUCGGAUCAUUUCGGGUACCGGGUUCGAUCGGGUCGCAGAGGCAAUCAAGCGAGGGUAGCUUCGGUGGUAGCUCGUUAUCUGGGGAGAACUACGUGGGGACUUCCUUUGGGCAUAAGAAUGAGGGCUGUGGCUCGUCGGUGGCAAGGAGCUGGGCGCAGCAGACGGAAGAG
rnacentral:misc_RNA from 1 species